rnacentral:rRNA from 1 species
UGGGGAAUAUUGCACAAUGGGGGAAACCCUGAUGCAGCGACGCCGCGUGAAGGAAGAAGUAUCUCGGUAUGUAAACUUCUAUCAGCAGGGAAGAUAGUGACGGUACCUGACUAAGAAGCCCCGGCUAA